GAGCUCAGGUGGUAGAGCCUGAGACUUCAUCUCAGGGCGAUGGGUUCAAGACCCACGUUGAGCA